rnacentral:rRNA from 1 species
AACGAACGCUGGCGGCGUGCUUAACACAUGCAAGUCGAACGCGAAAGGGACUUCGGGUCCUGAGUAAAGUGGCGCACGGGUGAGUAACGCGUAGAUAACCUGUCUUCAUGUCUGGAAUAAUACGCCGAAAGGGGUACUAAUACCGGAUAUUCUUGCUUUUCAUAAGUUAUGCAAGCAAAGGUGGCCUCUGCAUAUGCUACUGCAUGAAGAGGGGUCUGCGUACCAUUAGCUAGUAGGUGGGGUAAUGGCCUACCUAGGCGACGAUGGUUAGCGGGUCUGAGAGGAUGAUCCGCCACACUGGCACUGGAACACGGGCCAGACUCCUACGGGAGGCAGCAGUGAGGAAUAUUGCGCAAUGGGGAAACCCUGACGCAGCGACGCCGCGUGAGUGAAGGAAGGCCUUCGGGUCGUAAAGCUCUGUCAAGAGGAAAGAAGUGUACAAUGGCUAAUACCUGUUGUAUUUGACGGUACCUCUAAAGGAAGCACCGGCUAACUCCGUGCCAGCCGCAGC